rnacentral:rRNA from 1 species
AGUGGACGCUGGCGGUAGGCCUAACACAUGCAAGUCGAACGGCAGCACAGUAAGAGCUUGCUCUUACGGGUGGCGAGUGGCGGACGGGUGAGGAAUACAUCGGACUCUACUUUUUCGUGGGGGCUAACGUAGGGAAACUUACGCUAAUACCGCAUACGACCUACGGGUGAAAGCAGGGGAUCUUCGGACCUUGCGCGAUUGAAUGAGCCGAUGUCGGAUUAGCUAGUUGGCGGGGUAAAGGCCCACCAAGGCGACGAUCCGUCGCUGGUCUGAGAGGAUGAUCAGCCACACUGGAACUGAGACACGGUCCAGACUCCUACGGGAGGCAGCAGUGGGGAAUAUUGGACAAUGGGCGCAAGCCUGAUCCAGCCAUACCGCGUGGGUGAAGAAGGCCUUCGGUUUGUAAAGCCCUUUUGUUGGGAAAGAAAAGCAGCAGGUUAAUACCCCGCUGUUCUGACGGUACCCAAAGAAUAAGCACCGGCUAACUUCGUG